rnacentral:rRNA from 1 species
GUCAAAUGAACUAAGGCUUACGGUGGAGACCUAGGCACCCAGAGACGAUGAAGGGCGCAGAUACCGGCGAAACGCUUCGAGGAGCUGGCAACAAGCUUUGAUCCGAAGAUCCCCGAAUAGGGCAACCUGUAAAACUUCCAACAGAAUUCAUAAGUUGGAAAGAGGCAACCCAGUGAAUUGAAACAUCUUAGUAGCUGGAGGAAAAUAAAGCAAACGCGAUUCCCGUAGUAGUGGCGAGCGAACCGGGAACAGCCUAAACCCAUGAAUAAUGGGUGUAGUGGGAAGACUAUAAAAGAUAAAAUAGAGGAGCCUCUUUUUAAGAAGUCGCCUUGUAUCACCGACUUCGGAGCUCCGCUAUGCUCCUUUCACCUCCUAUUAUAAAUAGGAGGUGGGGAGAAGACAUAAAAACGAAGCAGCUGAAUCCUGCACCAUAGAGAGUGAAAGUCUCGUAGUUGUAAUGUCAAAAAAAAGUCAAAAAAAAGUCAAAAAAAAGAAGCUCCUAUUAAAAUUUUAAUAAGGAGCUUCCGAUAAUAUCCCGAGUAGCAUGGGACACGUGGAAUCCCGUGUGAAUCAGCGAGGACCACCUCGUAAGGCUAAAUACUCCUGGGUGACCGAUAGCGAAAUAGUACCGCGAGGGAAAGGUGAAAAGAACCCCCGUAGGGGAGUGAAAUAGAACAUGAAACCGUAAGCUGACAAGCAGUGGGAGGUUAAAGAAACUGACCGCGUGCCUGUUGAAGAAUGAGCCGGCGACUUAGAGGAAGUGGCGAUUGGUUAAAGAGUAAUAUCUGGAGCCUUUUGCGAAAGCGAGUCUGAAUAGGGCGUUUUGUCAUUUCCUCUGGACCCGAACCCAGGUGAUCUAACCAUGACCAGGAUGAAGCUUGGGUAACACUAAGUGGAGGUCCGAACAGACCGAUGUUGAAAAAUCGGCUGAUGAGUUGUGGUUACGCGGAGAAAUUCCAAUCGAACUUGGAGCUAGCUGGAUCUCCCCGAAAUGCGUUGAGGCGCAGCGGCAACGAAGAGCUAUCAUGGGGUAAAGCUACUGUUUCGAUGCGGGCUGCGAAAGCGGUACCAAGUCGUGGCAAACUCAGAAUACAUGGUAAGCCUACCGUUAGCCAGUGAGACAUUGGGUGAAAGGUUCAGUGUCAAGAGGGAAACAGCCCAGAUCAUUAGCUAAGGCCCCUAAAUGAUCACUAAGUGGAAAAGGAUGUGAGAAUGCCCAAACAACCAGGAGGUUUGCUUAGAAGCAGCCACCCUUGAAAGAGUGCGUAAUAGCUCACUGGUAAAGCGUUUUUGCGCCGACAAUGGCCGGGACUAAGUGAUCUGCCGAAGCUGUGAGAUUUUUAACAUUCUGAAUGUUCCUUCAGAACCAUUAGGUUUUCGACGGUCUCAGUCUUCGACUGAGAGUGAGACGAAGACCUAAGGUGGUAAAUGACUGAAUGAAUAAAAAAAAUCGGUAGGGGAGCGUUCUGUAUUGGGUGAAGUUUUCAUGUAAAUGUGAAUGGACAGUACUGAAGUGAGAAUGUCGGCUUGAGUAACGAAAACAUUGGUGUGAAUCCAAUGCCCCGGAAACCGUUGGGUUCCUCCACUAGGUUCGUCCAUGGGGGGUGAGUCAGGACCUAAGAUUAGGCCGAAAGGCGUCGUCGAUGGAAAACAGGUUAAUAUUCCUGUACUAUUUUUAUUGGGAAUCAAGGGACGAAGGAGACUAAGCUAGAACUGCUUAUGGAUUUCAGUGGAAGCGUUUAGGUGUUGAGAGUUAGAAAAAAAACUAACUUGAGCUAAGGCGUAAUCCCUAUUCUUAUGCAAAUAAGAAUAGCUAGUGAUGUCACACUUCCUAGAAAAGCUUGUGUUUCCUGGUUAUGAAAAUAACCGCCUUAUUAUAUAAGGUAACAAUAAAAAUACCUGUACCUAAAACCGACACAGGUAGGUUGGUAGAGAAUACCAAGGGGCGCGAGAGAACUCUCUCUAAGGAACUCGGCAAACUGGCCCCGUAACUUCGGAAGAAGGGGCGCCCUUUUUAUAAGGGCCGCAGUGACCAGGCUCUUGCGACUGUUUAUCAAAAACACAGGUCUCCGCAAAGUCGAAAGACAAUAUAUGGGGGCUGACGCCUGCCCAGUGCCGGAAGGUUAAGGAAGUUGGUUAUUCUUUUAGUAGAAAAAGCUGACGACCGAAGCCCCGGUGAACGGCGGUCGUAACUAUAACGAUCCUAAGGUAGCGAAAUUCAUUGUCGAGUAAGUUUCGACCUGCACGAAAGGCGUAACGAUAAGAGCACUGUCUCGGAGAGAGGCUCGGUGAAAUAGACUUGUCCGUGAAGAUGCGGACUACCUGCACCUGGACAGAAAGACCCUAUGAAGCUUGACUGUAUCCUGGAAUUGGGUUCGGGCUUUUCUUGCGCAGCCUAGGUGGGAGGCUUUGAAGGUUCCCUUCCGGGGGAAUCUGAGCCGUCAUUGAGAGACCACUCUGGAAGAGCUAGAAUCCUAAUGGUGAUCUUUGAAUCAAGACACUUGACAGUUUCAGGUGGGCAGUUUAUCUGGGGCGGAUACCUCCCAAAAGGUAACGGAGGUGUGCAAAGGUUCCCUCAGUCUGGACGGAAAUCAGACAUUGAGUGUAAAGGCAAAAGGGAGCUUGACUGCAAGACCUACAAGUCGAGCAGGGGCGAAAGCCGGCCUUAGUGAUCCGACGGUUCCGAGUGGAAGGGCCGUCGCUCAACGGAUAAAAGUUACUCUAGGGAUAACAGGCUUAUCUUCCCCAAGAGUUCACAUCGACGGGAAGGUUUGGCACCUCGAUGUCGGCUCAUCACAUCCUGGAGCGGUAGUACGUUCCAAGGGUUGGGCUGUUCGCCCAUUAAAGUGGUACGUGAGCUGGGUUCAAAACGUUGUGAAACAGUUUGGUCCAUAUCCGGUGUAGGCGUUGGAAUAUUGAGAGGAACCAAAGAUAGUACGAGAGGAUUUUUUUGGACAAACCAAUGGUGUAUCGGUUCUCACUCCAGUGGGAAACGCCGAGUAGCUAUGUUUGGAUUAGAUAACUGCUGAAAGCAUAUAAGUAGGAAGCUAACCUCAAGAUGAUUAUUCCCCAUUAGGCCGCGGGAAGAUAACCCGAUUGAUAGGUGUUAGGUGUAAGGUUAGUAAUAGCUUCAGCCAAGACAUACUAAAGGCCAAUUGAUUUUGAU